rnacentral:rRNA from 1 species
AAUCAACGCUGGUGGCGUGCCUAACACAUGCAAGUCGAGCGAGAAAAGGGGAGCAAUCCCCUGAGUACAGCGGCGCACGGGUGAGUAACACGUGGGUAAUCUGCCCUGGAGUGGGGAAUAACACCGGGAAACCGGUGCUAAUACCGCAUACGAUCACAGAGUCUGCGGAUUUUGGGAUGAAAGGAGCAAUUCGCUCUAGGAGGAGCCCGCGGCUGAUUAGCUAGUUGGUGAGGUAAUGGCUCACCAAGGCAACGAUCAGUAUCCGGUCUGAGAGGACGGUCGGACACACUGGAACUGAGACACGGUCCAGACUCCUACGGGAGGCAGCAGUGGGGAAUUUUUGGCAAUGGGGGCAACCCUGACCAAGCAACGCCGCGUGGGUGAUGAAGUCUCUUGGGACGUAAAACCCUUUCGACGGGGACGAAAGCCGCAAGGUUUGACGGUACCCGUAGAAGAAGCCCCGGCUAACUCCGUGCCAGCAGCCGCGGUAACAC